rnacentral:misc_RNA from 1 species
UACGGAGGGUGCAAGCGUUAAUCGGAAUUACUGGGCGUAAAGGGUGAGUAGGUUGUAGUACAAGUUAAGUGUGAAAUCCAUGGGCUUAACCUGUGUAGGUCACUUAAGACUGUACAACUAGAGUAUGGGAGAGGGUAGUGGAAUUUCCGGUGUAGCGGUGAAAUGCGUAGAGAUCGGAAGGAACACCAGUGGCGAAGGCGUCUACCUGGCCUAAUACUGACACUGAAUCACGAAAGCGUGGGUAGCAAACAGG